rnacentral:rRNA from 1 species
UACAGAGGGUGCAAGCGUUGUUCGGAAUUAUUGGGCGUAAAGAGCUUGUAGGCGGUUUGUCGCGUCUGCCGUGAAAGCCCAGGGCUUAACCCUGGGUCUGCGGUGGGUACGGGCAGACUAGAGUGUGGUAGGGGAGACUGGAAUUCCUGGUGUAGCGGUGAAAUGCGCAGAUAUCAGGAGGAACACCGAUGGCGAAGGCAGGUCUCUGGGCCACUACUGACGCUGAGAAGCGAAAGCAUGGGGAGCAAACAGG